GAUGAACGCUGGCGGCGUGCCUAAUACAUGCAAGUCGAGCGAACAGACGAGGAGCUUGCUCCUCUGACGUUAGCGGCGGACGGGUGAGUAACACGUGGAUAACCUACCUAUAAGACUGGGAUAACUUCGGGAAACCGGAGCUAAUACCGGAUAAUAUAUUGAACCGCAUGGUUCAAUAGUGAAAGACGGUUUUGCUGUCACUUAUAGAUGGAUCCGCGCCGCAUUAGCUAGUUGGUAAGGUAACGGCUUACCAAGGCAACGAUGCGUAGCCGACCUGAGAGGGUGAUCGGCCACACGGGAACUGAGACACGGCCCAGACUCCUACGGGAGGCAGCAGUAGGGAAUCUUCCGCAAUGGGCGAAAGCCUGACGGAGCAACGCCGCGUGAGUGAUGAAGGUCUUCGGAUCGUAAAACUCUGUUAUUAGGGAAGAACAAAUGUGUAAGUAACUAUGCACGUCUUGACGGUACCUAAUCAGAAAGCCACGGCUAACUACGUG
rnacentral:rRNA from 1 species